rnacentral:rRNA from 1 species
GUGAGGAAUAUUGGUCAAUGGGCGAGAGCCUGAACCAGCCAAGUCGCGUGAAGGAAGAAGGAUCUAUGGUUCGUAAACUUCUUUUGCAGGGGAAUGAAGUGCAGGACGUGUCCUGUUUUGUAUGUACCCUGAGAAUAAGGAUCGGCUAACUCCGUGCCAGCAGCAGCGGUAAUACGGAGGAUCCGAGCGUUAUCCGGAUUUAUUGUGUUUAAAGGGUGCGUAGGUGGUUUGAUAAGUCAGCGGUGAAAGUUUGCAGCUUAACUGUAAAAAUGCAGUUGAAACUGUCGGACUUGAGUGUAAAUGAGGUAGGCGGAAUGCGUGGUGUAGCGGUGAAAUGCAUAGAUAUCACGCAGAACUCCGAUUGCGAAGGCAGCUUACUAAGCUACAACUGACACUGAAGCACGAAAGCGUGGGGAUCAAACAGGAUUAGAAACCCCGGUAGUCC